ACAUGCAAGUCGAGCGGCAGCGCGGGGCAACCUGGCGGCGAGCGGCGAACGGGUGAGUAACACAUCGGAACAUGUCCAUUCGUGGGGGAUAGCCCGGCGAAAGCCGGAUUAAUACCGCAUACGCCCUUUGGGGGAAAGCGGGGGACUUCGCAAGAGGCCUCGCGCGAAUGGGUUGGCCGAUGUCCGAUUAGCUAGUUGGUGGGGUAAAGGCUUACCAAGGCGAUGAUCGGUAGCUGGUCUGAGAGGAUGAUCAGCCACACUGGGACUGAGACACGGCCCAGACUCCUACGGGAGGCAGCAGUGGGGAAUUUUGGACAAUGGGGGCAACCCUGAUCCAGCCAUUCCGCGUGAGUGAAGAAGGCCUUCGGGUUGUAAAGCUCUUUUGUCCGGAACGAAACGGGUAGCGUGAAUAUCGCUGCCUACUGACGGUACCGGAAGAAUAAGCACCGGCUAACUACGUGCCAGCAGCCGCGGUAAUACGUAGGGUGCGAGCGUUAAUCGGAAUUACUGGGCGUAAAGCGUGCGCAGGCGGUUUUGUAAGCCAGAUGUGAAAGCGGCGGGCUUAACCUGGGAAUGGCAUUUGGGACUGCAAGGCUUGAGUGCGGCAGAGGAGACUGGAAUUCCCGGUGUAGCAGUGAAAUGCGUAGAUAUCGGGAGGAAUACCGAUGGCGAAAGGCAGGUCUCUGGG
rnacentral:rRNA from 1 species